GGAGAGGUACCCAAGUGGCUCAAGGGGAUGGUUUGCUAAAUCAUUAGGGGGGAGCAAUCUCCCGCGAGGGUUCGAAUCCCUCUCUCUCCGCCA
rnacentral:tRNA from 2 species